rnacentral:sRNA from 1 species
UUUUUCUUUUCCCCACCUAGUUUUUAGUAAAUAAAAUUAGGCUAUAAUUCUACAAUUUUAAAUUUAAUAAGUAUCAAGUCCUUGUAUUGAUUCCCUAAGUUACCCAUUUACUACAUUAGUGGGACUAGGUUUUAUUGGCUUUGAGGCUACUAAAAAAGUUGUUCAACACUCUCACAUGGUUUCCACCCGAAGUCAAGUCCAACCCAAUAACAACCCUUCAAAAUCAAAUGCAAAUGUUAAUCAACGUAAACACUAUGAUUUCAAGCUUGAAGACCUACAUUUUUCAAAGACUUCAUUGUUGAACCUUAAGCUAACUGGCCGAGAGAACGAGAACUCCCCUCCACGACCUUAG